rnacentral:rRNA from 1 species
AUUGAACGCUGGCGGCAUGCUUUACACAUGCAAGUCGAACGGUAACAGGCCGCAAGGUGCUGACGAGUGGCGAACGGGUGAGUAAUGCAUCGGAACGUGCCCAGUCGUGGGGGAUAACGCAGCGAAAGCUGCGCUAAUACCGCAUACGAUCUAUGGAUGAAAGCGGGGGACCGUAAGGCCUCGCGCGAUUGGAGCGGCCGAUGUCAGAUUAGGUAGUUGGUGAGGUAAAGGCUCACCAAGCCAACGAUCUGUAGCUGGUCUGAGAGGACGACCAGCCACACUGGGACUGAGACACGGCCCAGACUCCUACGGGAGGCAGCAGUGGGGAAUCUUGGACAAUGGGCGCAAGCCUGAUCCAGCAAUGCCGCGUGCAGGAAGAAGGCCUUCGGGUUGUAAACUGCUUUUGUACGGAACGAAACGGUCCGGGUUAAUACCCUGGGCUAAUGACGGUACCGUAAGAAUAAGCACCGGCUAACUACGUGCCAGCAGCCGCGGUAACAC